rnacentral:lncRNA from 1 species
AAUCCAUCCUGAGGGAUCCAUUCUGGAGAAUCCAUCCCGAGGAAUCCGUCCUGAGGAAUCCGUCCUGAGGAAUCCAUCCUGAGGGAUCCGUCCUGAGGAAUCCAUCCCAUGGGAUCCUGAGGAAUCCAUCCCAAGGAAUCCUGACAAAUCCUGAGGAAUCCAUCCCGAGGAAUCCAUCCCAAAGACUCCUGAGGAAUCCCGAGGAAUCUCUCCCAAGGAAUCUCAAGGAACCCUGAGGAAUCCACCGUGAGGAACCCCGAGGAAUCCAUCCCAAGGAAUUCCAAGCCUUCCAUGCCCCAAAGUGCUGGAAUAAAUUCAUUUGCUAAAUUGUUAAUUGUCACUCUUGGCCCUGAAGGAGACAGAGAGAGCGGGGAAAUAAAUCUGAAAUUCCACCAAAAUUCAUCUUCUGAUGACCAGUGGGAACGGAGAGGGAUUUAGGGACAAAACUCUGGGAUAAAUCCUGGGCUAAAUCCAGGAUUCAGAUCCGUCAGGAGCGUCUGGACAUCGCAGGAAACCUCGGAAUCACUCCUUAACCUCAUCAUUUUUAGGUUUUUUUCUAAUUUUGCUUCCAUUUCCCCCUGUUUGGGAUGAGCCCCUGGUUUUGGAUGGAUAUUGGGACCCCAAGGGAGGCUUUGACUCGAGACCUCUCAGCAUUUUCUACUCCUCCUGUGCCACCAAAAUCCAGCAUUCACCUACAAAAUAAUCCCUGAACUGAGGGAAAAAACAAAACCAAAAUCCCAAAUCCAGCAGGAGGCCUGGUUUUUCCUGUUUUUCUGCACAUGGGAACAGCGAGAUUUUGGGUUCUUCUCUUCCCCCGCAGCCCCUGGAACUGCUGGGAAACAUCCAAGAGUUCUGAAAUGCCACAGAUUUAAAGAAAAACAGAUUUUAAAGAGCAAGAAUUGUACCAGACCUUGGGGUUUUGUGCUGCAGCUGGGAUUUUGGGAGAAAAUCUGGAUUUAGGGAAAGAUUCAGGUGAGGAAUCCUUCAAAUAUAAAAAAAGAAAAAUCACUUCAAGGUCAUUCAGAACCUGGGCAUAAUUUCACAUCCAGGCUUCCUUUUUAAAAAAUACGUUUAUUCCCAUUAGAAAAAUAAAUAAUAAAUCUAUUUUUUUCCCA